ensembl:snRNA U1 U1 spliceosomal RNA
AUACUUACCUGACAGGGGAGAUACCAUGACCACACAGGUGGUUUUCCCAGGGUGAGGCUCAUCCAUUGUUCUUGGGAUGUGCUGAGCGCUGCAAUUUCCCCAAACAUGGGAAACUAGACUGCAUAAUUUGUGGUGGUGGGGGACUGCGUCCAUGCUUUCCCCUA